AUAUAAUACAAAAAUAUUUCUUAACCAAAAUAAUUUUUUAGUCUUUUUUUAUUAUUAAAAAAAGGAGAGCACAGUGAGUUGUUUCUGAGCCUGUUCUUUUUAGCUAGCUCUCUCCUCAGGACAGUAUAGUCAUCUGGCCUCAUGGGGUGACAAGGAGCAGUGGAUGUCCCAGGUCUCUGCUGCCAGUCUUGCAAGCUGACUCACGACGCAUCAGUCACAGUGUCCACGGCUUCAGAAUGAAGGCUUCCCUACCCACAGCCAGCUUGUGCCUGGGAGCCCAGAUCCUUCCAGGAGCAUCCUUGAAGGCCAUCAGGAGAUAACACAACCUAUCAGCCAGAAAAUAAAGCUCCCUGACUGUCGCUGCAGAAAUUACAGCUAAUUACAUGCUCCAUGCUUCCUGCAAAAGAUAUAUAUUUUACGCGGCUGUGCAGACUUUUUCCCUAGGCUGUAUUUAAAGAAAAAAACCACCUAAAUGCAAGAAUACAACAACUAAAGUUACACCGGAGGUACAGAAAAGAAGGAGUUACAGGGAAGAAAUUAAAAUCUGAUUGCAGGAAAGCAAGUGUCAACAAGGCAUGGGGAGCUCCAUCAACUUAGAUGGCUGCAGUGUGGAUUUCUAAGUCUUUGGCUGCUUGACUCUAAAACACGCUUUGGAAAGAAAGAGUCCAGCAUGGGUACAGAUGACUUUUCUGUGUGGUUCCAAUGUCCCAAGUUCCCUUUCAGUGCCAAGCAGAUUGGAUAACGCAACGUAUAACCAAGUUAGUCAGUUUUCCAUCAUCAAUAAUAAACACCCGAGGUGAUGAACCUACAAAGAGAAAAGGGUCUCUUUGGUUGUGCUUUUAGAAAUUCAGGUCUGUGAUGAGCGGUCCUCACUGCUCUGGACUUGUGAGGACACAUUACAGUGGACGUGCACAAAAGAGCCAAACCACUGACCUCUCCUGGACAAGACACCGAAUAGGAAGAGACCUCAGUCCCUUCAUUUCUUUUCAGGCUAAGCCUCCAAUGAGCUGAAGUUCUCCCACAAGGCUCUGCUUCCUAAAGACUUGGCCAUUUCUCAACAGCACAAAUGGGAGAUGAAAUUUUUCAACAUUUUAGCUUUGGGGGUGGGCAUUUAAAAUCUAAAAGAGAGUACAGAAAUGUGUCAGCCAUGUGUGAUAUUUCAUAUGGAACCAAAUUCUCUCACAAUAUAUCUGAACUGAAAACAGUA